ensembl:lncRNA
UUAGAGCGUUGGACUAGUAACCAGCAGGUAACCUAGUGAUUAGAGCGUUGGACUAGUAACCAGCAGGUAACCUAGUGAUUAGAGCGUUGGACUAGUAACCAGCAGGUAACCUAGUGGUUAGAGCGUUGGACUAGUAACCAGCAGGUAACCUAGUGAUUAGAGCGUUGGACUAGUAACCAGCAGGUAACCUAGUGAUUAGAGCGUUGGACUAGUAACCAGCAGGUAACCUAGUGAUUAGAGCGUUGGACUAGUAACCAGCAGGUAACCUAGUGAUUAGAGCGUUGGACUAGUAACCGGAAGGUUGCAAGAGCGAAUCCCUGAGCUGACAAGGUAAAAAAAAAAAUCUGUUGUUCUGCCCCCUGAACAAGACAGUUAACCCACUGUUCCUAGGCUGUCAUUGAAAAUAAGAAUUUGUUCUUAACUAACUUUUGCCUAGUUAAAUAAAAAUUAAUUGCGAAGAGCGAUGUACCAUUUACACUAUAUUGUUCCCCUUUAUCAGCUGACAUCGUCAUAGAAACUGAGAACACAUCCUGCCUAAAGCCAGAUCUGAUAGUAACUGAAGUCGUCAGGUACAGAUGAAUGUCCACAACUACAUGAUUCCUCUUUAGACACGUCCUUAGUAAAGACAGUAUUUCAUUGCUGUUACUACUAGUUCUAGCCUGCUUCUCAGCAGAGAGAGAGAGAGCUGUUUGAGGCCACAACUCUCUCUCUCUCUCUCUCUCUCUCUGUCUCUCUGUCUCUCUGUGUCUCUCUGUGUCUCUGUCUGUGUCUCUCUGUGUCUCUCUGUGUCUCUCUGUGUCUCUCUGUGUCUCUCUGUGUCUGGUAGCUAGAUGGAAAGACAUGGGACCUUUUCUCUACAAGACUCCAGUAGUCUGACAAGGUAUUUAUCAUAAGUGGGUACAGAACAUUCUGCUCUUGCAGAAGAAACACAUCCUUCAUCAGUCUCGGGCGACUAAUAUUUUACCUUUUUGAUUUUAGCACCAUUAAGCUGAAAUUACCCACAAGACAACAAGAGGUCUCUACCUCCAUAUCUCUUAAUGAUAACCUGCUCACAAGACAACAAGAGGUCUCUACCUCCAUAUCUCUUAAUGAUAACCUGCUCACAAGACAACAAGAGGUCUGGGAAGAGGUCUCUACCUCCAUAUCUCUUAAUGAUAACCUGCUCACAAGACAACAAGAGGUCUCUACCUCCAUAUCUCUUAAUGAUAACCUGCUCACAAGACAACAAGAGGUCUGGGAAGAGGUCUCUACCUCCAUAUCUCUUAACGACGGCCUGCGCAGCUUCUAUAACCACAGCGGGAGGGUGGUCCUGUGUCUUUGCGAGGAUUUGGUUUCCUAUGGUUACCAUGGCAGCAAGACGCUCUGUUACCUCAUGCUCCAUAAUGAUGUCAGCAGGUGACUGUGGUCCAGAAUGAAACCCUAGUUUCUGUAGUCCACUGCCCUGUUCCAAAGUAGUGGACUUUAAAAUGAAGUAGGGUGCCAUUUCAGAUAUAUACAAUACACUGAACUGUGUUCAUAAUAUCCACUACAGUAGACUGUGUUCAUAACAGACUUUACAGUAGACUGUGUUCAUAAUGUCCAGUACAGUAGACUGUGUUCAUAAUGUCCAGUACAGUAGACUGUGUUCAUAACAGUAGACUGUGUUCAUAAUGUCCAGUACAGUAGACUGUGUUCAUAAUGUCCAGUACAGUAGACUGUGUUCAUAAUACUGUGUUCAUAACAGUAGACUGUGUUCAUAUGUGUCAACGAGGGCCUCUGAAGUCCAUACCAACGAUCACAUGAUAAUUCCUCUAUGCUCUAUUUGAGGAAUCCUGUAGGAAUGUUGCAGUCCUCCACCGUGUUAAGUUUGGUCGUCUUGAUCCUCGUUUGAUCACACAAGAUGUAGAAAACACUGCUGCUAGCAGAAAUCUG